rnacentral:tRNA from 1 species
CAUUGCGAAGCUAGCGUAGCGUUAACCUUUUAAGUUAGAGACUGAGAACUCAGACUUCUCCGUAAUGA